UCCGGCUUAUCGCCGACAGUUCCCUUAGGGUUCUCAGCAUAACCUGUUAGCAACUAAGGGCAAGGGUUGCGCUCGUUGCGGGACUUAACCCAACAUCUCACGACACGAGCUGACGACAGCCAUGCAGCACCUCUAGAGUAGUCCGGUAAAGGACAUUGACAUCUCUGCCAACUUCCACUCCAGUUCAAGCCCAGGUAAGGUUCUUCGCGUUGCGUCGAAUUGAACCACAUAAUCCACCGCUUGUGCGGGUCCCCGUCAAUUCCUUUGAGUUUUAAUCUUGCGACCGUACUCCCCAGGCGGGAAGCUUAAUGCGUUAGCUGCGGCACGGAAUCCGUUGAGUGAAUCCCACACCUAGUGCCCACCGUUUACGGCGUGGACUAC
rnacentral:misc_RNA from 1 species